rnacentral:tRNA from 1 species
GCCCGGGUGGCUCAGUCGGUUGAGCGUCCAACUUCAGCUCAGGUCAUGAUCUCGCAGUUCGUGGGUCCGAGUCCCACAUCGGGCC